rnacentral:rRNA from 1 species
AGUGAACGCUGGCGGUAGGCCUAACACAUGCAAGUCGAACGGCAGCACAGUAAGAGCUUGCUCUUACGGGUGGCGAGUGGCGGACGGGUGAGGAAUACAUCGGAAUCUACUUUUUCGUGGGGGAUAACGUAGGGAAACUUACGCUAAUACCGCAUACGACCUACGGGUGAAAGCAGGGGAUCUUCGGACCUUGCGCGAUUGAAUGAGCCGAUGUCGGAUUAGCUAGUUGGGGGGGUAAAGGCCCACCAAGGCGACGAUCCGUAGCUGGUCUGAGAGGAUGAUCAGCCACACUGGAACUGAGACACGGUCCAGACUCCUACGGGAGGCAGCAGUGGGGAAUAUUGGACAAUGGGCGCAAGCCUGAUCCAGCCAUACCGCGUGGGUGAUGAAGGCCUUCGGGUUGUAAAGCCCUUUUGUUGGGAAAGAAAAGCAGCAUGUUAAUACCCCGCUGUUCUGACGGUACCCAAAGAAUAAGCACCGGCUAACUUCGUG